CACAUGCUGCCCUGACCGCAGGCUCACAGGCUCACAGACAGCCUCUACCUUUUUUUUUUCCUCCGCUGCGGGAGUUGACGUGACAAGGAUGAUAUAUUGAUACCAUUCAUGGGAAAAUACAUAGCAUCCCGAUCCACACUCCACUGAAGUAGAUGGUGGUAAUGCACAUCAUAAAGUUGCUUGCCAACCGCCAUAAAACAGAAGCAGAAGAAGAAGAAA